GUGGUGCUGGGGCUCAGUGGUAGGGCACCUGCCGUGCACGUGUGAGGCCCUGGGUUCGAUCCUCAGCACCACA
rnacentral:tRNA from 1 species